GUCUUCCUAUGUCUAGCAUUAAAAGAUUACAGUUGGUACAAAAUGCGGCUGCUAGACUUUUGACAAGAACAAGAAAGUUUGAUCAUAUUACGCCUAUACUGGCUCACCUGCACUGGCUUCCUGUGCACUUAAGAUGUGACUUUAAGGUUUUACUACUUACGUAUAAAAUACUAGACGUCUAGCUCCAGCCUAUCUUGCCGAUUGUAUUGUACCAUAUGUCCCGGCCAGAGCUGGCCCAAGGCAUAAGCGUACUAAGCGCUUGCUUAGGGCCCCGCGGCCACCAGGGGGCCCCCAAAAUAAAUUAAGAAAAAAUUCUUAUUUUUUAUUUUUUGCAUGUACGAGUCUGACUGUUGAUUUCUAAAUGAUCAAAGAUAUAUUAUUGUACAAAAACACAAUUUUAGGUCAACAGAGUGCUGCUGCUGAUCUAGGCCUAGUGAUUCUUCCUGCCUCUCUUUAAAUGUAAAACUGCCUCUGCUGCACCUGUGACGUUUGCCGCCUGCCGUGCAAUGCCAGUGCGCACUGGGCAUCAAAAGCGCAGAUAGAGGAAAAACAAUGUCACAAAAAAGGACAUAUCCUUCAGGUGCAGAAAAAAGGAAGAAGAAAGUGGAAGAGGAGAAAAAAUGCCAUGAUAAAGGAGCGUUGUUAAAAUACUUUGGAGGCACAGAAUCAGCCCAGAGCCAGUCCACAUCCUCAGGCUCAACUGUGAGUCAUCACUCACAGGUCCAUCUCCAUCCUCUACAGUGCUCUCUCACACACCUCCAUCCUCUGUGCCCACUGUCCCCUCCAUGUCUGAAACCACAGCUGAUUUAUCUAGUAAGUUAACUGCAAAACUUAUUUAACUUGAAUUUAACUGAAUUUAACCUCAGUAGACUGCGCUCUUUUUGUACAAAGUAAACUUUAAAUAUGAACAAUUAACUAAAAAUAUAAACUAGUAAUUAAAGACUAAUAUGUACAAGACUGAUGAGACAAGAUGACACUUUUACUGUAAAUACAAAGCUUUAUCACUUGGACUGUUCAACCCCAGGCCACUCUUGUAGCUGAAUGUUUUCUACAUUUUAAGAUUAGGAACCAUAUGUGGCACUCUGGACAUCAUUCGUUCAUUCAUUGGUAUUAUUUAUGUUCUUAACUGGGCCACCCCCAUAUCUUUAUAAAUGACAUGUCAUUUGUAAAGACAUGCCAGGCUGACAAUAGAAUAAUGUAAACAACACUGCCAGAGCCGCAAUGAGUUUAUAGUAGGUGUGUGAAUGAUCAACAAUCAAUAUUAUUUGCAGAAAUAGAGGGCCCCAAAAUCAAAUUUUGCUUAGGGCCCCAUGGAGGCUUGGGCCGGCACUGGUCCCGGCAAGAAAUCUGCGUUCAAAGAACUCCGGCUUAUUAGUGAUUCCCAGAGCCCAAAAAAAGUCUGCGGGCUACAGAGCAUUUCUAUUCGGGCUUCAGUACUAUGGAAUGCCCUCCCGGUAACAGUUAGAGAUGCUACCUCAGUAGAAGCAUUUAAGUCCCAUCUUAAAACUCAUUUGUAUACUCUAGCCUUUAAAUAGACCCCCUUUUUAGACCAGUUGAUCUGCCGUUUCUUUUCUUUUCUCCUCUGCCCCCCUCUCUCUUGUGGAGGGGGAGAGAUACACAGGUCCGGUGGCCAUGGAUGAAGUGCUGGCUGUCCAGAGUCGGGACCCGGAGUGGACCGCUCGCAUGUGCAUCGGUUGGGGACAUCUCUGCGCUGCUGACCCGUCUCCGCUCGGGACGGUUUCCUGCUGGCCCCACUAUGGACUGGACUCUCACUAUUAUGUUAGAUCCACUAUGGACUGGACUUUCACAAUAUUAUGUCAGACCCACUCG